rnacentral:rRNA from 1 species
AUUGAACGCUGGCGGCAUGCCUUACACAUGCAAGUCGAACGGUAACAGGUCUUCGGAUGCUGACGAGUGGCGAACGGGUGAGUAAUACAUCGGAACGUGCCCGAUCGUGGGGGAUAACGAAGCGAAAGCUUUGCUAAUACCGCAUACGAUCUACGGAUGAAAGCAGGGGACCGCAAGGCCUUGCGCGAACGGAGCGGCCGAUGGCAGAUUAGGUAGUUGGUGGGAUAAAAGCUUACCAAGCCGACGAUCUGUAGCUGGUCUGAGAGGACGACCAGCCACACUGGGACUGAGACACGGCCCAGACUCCUACGGGAGGCAGCAGUGGGGAAUUUUGGACAAUGGGCGAAAGCCUGAUCCAGCCAUGCCGCGUGCAGGAUGAAGGCCUUCGGGUUGUAAACUGCUUUUGUACGGAACGAAAAGACUCUGGUUAAUACCUGGGGUCCAUGACGGUACCGGAAGAAUAAGCACCGGCUAACUACGUG